rnacentral:tmRNA from 1 species
GGGGGCGUCAUGGUUUCGACGUGGUCGUCUACAGGGAUUGGUUGCGAGCCGAGGACGUCGGUUGGCCUCGUUAAAUAACCCGGCACAUUGAACUGCGAAGUCGGACACCGACAUCGCCUUCGCCGCCUGAUCCUAGGAUCACGCGACGAACGCCCUUGCACCUUGGGCCCGUGGGGUGCAAUCGGCGUUAAUUAACGGGCUUGUCCCCCGGCGGAGUGACGCGCCGACGGGGGAGACCUUAUGCGUCUGGCCCCAGGUACGCCGGCCCGCAGAGCCGACUGGGGUGAGAUUGAUCCGCGGGCUACGCUCGUAGACGCCUUUUCCGAGCGGUCGCGGACCCGGGUUCGAUUCCCGGCGCCUCCACUC